rnacentral:rRNA from 1 species
UACGAAGGGGGCGAGCGUUGUUCGGAUUUACUGGGCGUAAAGCGUGCGCAGGCGGUUUUGUAAGACAGGGGUGAAAUCCCCGGGCUUAACCUGGGAACUGCGCUUGUGACUGCAAGACUCGAGUACGGCAGAGGGGGGUAGAAUUCCACGUGUAGCAGUGAAAUGCGUAGAGAUGUGGAGGAAUACCGAUGGCGAAGGCAGCCCCCUGGGUCGAUACUGACGCUCAUGCACGAAAGCGUGGGGAGCAAACAGG